AUUGAACGCUGGCGGAAUGCUUUACACAUGCAAGUCGAGCGGCAGCGCGGCCUUCGGGCUGGCGGCGAGCGGCGAACGGGUGAGUAAUGCAUCGGAACAUGCCCAGUCGUGGGGGAUAACACUUCGAAAGAAGUGCUAAUACCGCAUACGUCCUGAGGGGGAAAGCGGGGGAUCGCAAGACCUCGCGCGAUUGGAGUGGCCGAUGUCAGAUUAGCUAGUUGGUGGGGUAAAGGCCUACCAAGGCGACGAUCUGUAGCUGAUCUGAGAGGAUGAUCAGCCACACUGGGACUGAGACACGGCCCAGACUCCUACGGGAGGCAGCAGUGGGGAAUUUUGGACAAUGGGGGCAACCCUGAUCCAGCCAUUCCGCGUGAGUGAAGAAGGCCUUCGGGUUGUAAAGCUCUUUCGGCAGGAACGAAACGGUGGGCUCUAACAUAGUCCGCUAAUGACGGUACCUGAAGAAGAAGCACCGGCUAACUACGUG
rnacentral:rRNA from 1 species